rnacentral:rRNA from 1 species
GACGAACGCUGGCGGCGUGCUUAACACAUGCAAGUCGAGCGAAUGGAUUAAGAGCUUGCUCUUAUGAAGUUAGCGGCGGACGGGUGAGUAACACGUGGGUAACCUGCCCAUAAGACUGGGAUAACUCCGGGAAACCGGGGCUAAUACCGGAUAACAUUUUGAACCGCAUGGUUCGAAAUUGAAAGGCGGCUUCGGCUGUCACUGAUGGAUGGACCCGCGUCGCAUUAGCUAGUUGGUGAGGUCACGGCUCACCAAGGCAACGAUGCGUAGCCGACCUGAGAGGGUGAGAGGCCACACUGGGACUGAGACACGGCCCAGACUCCUACGGGAGGCAGCAGUAGGGAAUCUUCCGCAAUGGACGAAAGUCUGACGGAGCAACGCCGCGUGAGUGAGGAAGGCUUUCGGGUCGUAAAACUCUGUUGUUAGGGAAGAACAAGUGCUAGUUGAAUAAGCUGGCACCUUGACGGUACCUAACCAGAAAGCCACGGCUAACUACGUGCCAGCCGCCGCGGUAA